AACGUAGGACACAAGCGUUAUCCGGAGUUACUGGGCGUAAAGGGCGUGUAGGCGGAGAUGUAAGUCUACUCUGAAAGCUCCUGGCUAAACUGGGAGAGGCGAGUGGAGACUGUCGGUCUAGAGUGAGGAAGAGGAAAGUGGAAUUCCGCGUGUAGUGGUGAAAUGCGUAGAGAUGCGGAGGAACACCAGUGGCGAAAGCGGCUUUCUGGUCCUUAACUGACGCUGAGGCGCGAAAGCAUGGGGAGCGAACGGG
rnacentral:rRNA from 1 species